rnacentral:tRNA from 1 species
CUUGAGUUGCCGUAGUUGGCCGAACGGUCCAGACUGUUAAUCUGGUGAGAUUUAUCUCCAUCGUAGGUUCGAAUCCUACCUCAAGA